AGUCAAACGCAAGCACCUCCCACCCCAGAGACCUUUGGUCCCAGCCUGGAGAUCAGCUCAGACAAGAAGACGACCAGGGAAGGCGCACAGACUCUGCGAAAAGCUGCUGCUGUUUAACAUCGCACAGUCAGAAGGGAUCGUCUCAGCCAGCCUGCAGCAUCUGUCACUUUGACCAUGAGACGCUGCCUCGAUUUCCAAUCCAGGGUGCCAUCCUCCUCCACGCCCCGCAGCGGAUCCCCAGGGCGGGAGGAGCGGCGCCGAGUCGGACCGGCUGCAGGCCAGUGCUCUUCCCGGAAGUGCGCCUCCCCCGG